rnacentral:tRNA from 1 species
CUCAGUUGGUAGAGCAGAGGACUGAAAAU